rnacentral:rRNA from 1 species
CGCGGAGCGGCGGCGGGGCCGCGGUUGAUAAGCUAGUUGGUGGGGUAAUGGCUCACCAAGGCGACGAUCAGUAGUUGGUCUGAGAGGACGACCAGCCACACUGGGACUGAGACACGGCCCAGACUCCUACGGGAGGCAGCAGUGGGGAAUUUUGGACAAUGGGCGCAAGCCUGAUCCAGCAAUGCCGCGUGAGUGAAGAAGGCCUUCGGGUUGUAAAGCUCUUUCAGUCGAGAAGAAAAGGCUGUGACUAAUAAUCAUAGCUCAUGACGGUAUCGACAGAAGAAGCACCGGCUAACUACGUGCCAGCAGCCGCGGUAAUACGUAGGGUGCGAGCGUUAAUCGGAAUUACUGGGCGUAAAGGGUGCGCAGGCGGUUUUGUAAGUCAGAUGUGAAAUCCCCGGGCUUAACCUGGGAACUGCGUUUGAAACA